AUUACAUAUAUCCACUACUGAUUAUAUGACGAAUUAAAUUGGAAUUUCAGAUAUCUAAAAUUUCAAUAUGCCUAUACAAGGUUGUGUUGUGAAUUGGCACUAUAUAAAUAACAUUUAAAUAAAUUGAAUUGAACUUCUGGUCACAAAAAACCAAAACUUUUAAAAUAAGAUUAUAGAAUUGUUACAUUACAGUUAAUUUUUCUCCUCUUCCCAUCUCUCAGAGUUACCCUAAAAGCCAUUUUGUCUUAGCUGAUCAGUGGAGUGGACAUGAGUAUUUCUCCAGCCAGCCAUCAAAUAAACGUCACAUAGUGCUAGGGUAUUUUGUAUGUCAGGGUUCGUUUUUAAUCAUGCCUUCCUCAUUCUAGUGAAUUCAGUCUAUUUUAAGCAGAGGAAUUUAGUCUUGGGUAGUCAUUUAACUAACCAUCCUUUUAUGUUUCUUCUGCAGCAUUGGAAGCAAAGUUGUACUACUUUGUAGCAAAAAUGAUUACAGUCUGUGUUGUCCGUGGAGGAGUUGCCCACCAUUUUUUCUCAGAAGGGCUGUUUCAGCAAUUUGCGGGCUUCCAAAGGCCCCUUUCAGACCAGAAGUUCUGCAUGAUCACAAACUCCGGGAGCAGCUAAUCAAGGUUUGCAGAGGGCUUCAAGAUUCUGGGGCUACUGAAAGAGCUCCAGAAAAACCCAGCUGUUGUUCCUGACAUGUCCGUGUGUGAGGAGAAAGCCCUCACUGCCAGGGACAUGAGCCACAGUGACCUAUUCUGCUCAGGGCAGCAAUCAGCACGUUCUGGAGAACCAGUUGGUCUGCUUUAGGAGUGACUGGCUGAUUGACAUUAAAGAAGAGGAGGAUGGUCCACCCUCUCUCUCGAUGUUCACCUCUGGAGCCUCUGCCAUCCCUCCACUUGGCUUUUCCUGCCAGCCUGAAAUCCAGUUUCUGCAUGACACCAAGACAAUUUACCCAGAAGCCAAUACUAGUGUUGUUGUCCUGUUGUAUCUGUCACUGCACUCCUCCUACAAGGCUGUUAGAAUAUACAUGAUCGAGGGAAUUUUGCAAGCUCCGACCUUUGGAGUUUCUUAAAUGAUCACGAAUGUGACUAUGAAAGGUUACGCUGUAAGGUGAUGACGGGUUUGCAUGUUUGUCCAGCUGUUGUUAAUGUUUUACUUAAUUUUAAGGUAAAACGUGGUUUUACAAGUCUGAAAAGUGUACCAGUGUUUAAAAAAUACUGUUCAUAUGUUUUUUACUAAAAGCCUUUAGCUGGUCCUGAGGAUAAAAUAUCAGAAGACUGUGCCAGAUGAUUCAGGUUCUGUCAUUAAACUUCUGAAAUGGUUUUAGAUUUUAACAACUUUCAGGAAGUUGACAAAUUGUUAUCCAAGACCAUCAUAUGUUCUCUUCUAGGUUUGUCUUUAUGGCAAUAAAGAAAAUACUCAAAAUUAAAGUUUGAUACAUAAAAAAAUAUUAAACUGAACUUAUCAUGGCCACUAAUGACAAAGAAAAAAUAAAUAAACAGAUAUUUUUGCCAAAAGGAGGGAGAAGUUUAACACAAGAAGAGGGCCAAAAUAAAAAUGUGUUUUUUAAAAGAAAGAGAAUGAAUAAAUUUCGUCCCACUUAA